GACGAACGCUGGCGGCGUGCUUAACACAUGCAAGUCGAACGAAGUGGCGAACGGGUGAGUAACGCGUAAUCAACCUGCACUUCAGAGGGGAACAACAGUUGGAAACGACUGCUAAUACCGCAUACUGAAGGAGGGGAGUGCGUCUGCUUAGCUAGUUGGGGGGGUAAUGGCCCACCAAGGCGAUGAUCAGUCGCCGGUCUGAGAGGAUGAACGGCCCACUUGGGACUGGGACACGGCCCAGACUCCUACGGGAGGCAGCAGUGGGGAAUCGUCCGCAAUGGACGAAAGUCUGACGGAGCAACGCCGCGUGAGUGAUGACGGCCUUCGGGUUGUAAAGCUCUGUUAAUCGGGACGCGGUACCGGAAUAGAAAGCCACGGCUAACUACGUGCCAGCAGCCGCGGUAAUUC
rnacentral:rRNA from 1 species